rnacentral:rRNA from 1 species
GACGAACGCUGGCGGCGUGCUUAACACAUGCAAGUCGAACGGAAAGGCCCUGCUUUUGUGGGGUGCUCGAGUGGCGAACGGGUGAGUAGCACGUGAGUAACCUGCCCUUGACUUUGGGAUAACUUCAGGUAACUGGGGCUAAUACCGGAUAGGAGCUCCUGCUGCAUGGUGGGGGUUGGAAAGUUUCGGCGGUUGGGGAUGGACUCGCGGCUUAUCAGCUUGUUGGUGGGGUAGUGGCUUACCAAGGCUUUGACGGGUAGCCGGCCUGAGAGGGUGACCGGCCACAUUGGGACUGAGAUACGGCCCAGACUCCUACGGGAGGCAGCAGUGGGGAAUAUUGCACAAUGGGCGGAAGCCUGAUGCAGCAACGCCGCGUGCGGGAUGACGGCCUUCGGGUUGUAAACCGCUUUCGCCUGUGACGAAGCGUGAGUGACGGUAAUGGGUAAAGAAGCACCGGCUAACUACGUG